UACGUAGGGUGCGAGCGUUAAUCGGAAUUACUGGGCGUAAAGCGUGCGCAGGCGGUUUUGUAAGACAGGCGUGAAAUCCCCGGGCUCAACCUGGGAACUGCGCUUGUGACUGCAUCACUCGAGUACGGCAGAGGGGGGUGGAAUUCCACGUGUAGCAGUGAAAUGCGUAGAGAUGUGGAGGAACACCGAUGGCGAAGGCAGCCCCCUGGGCCGAUACUGACGCUCAUGCACGAAAGCGUGGGUAGCAAACAGG
rnacentral:rRNA from 1 species